rnacentral:rRNA from 1 species
AGUGAACGCUGGCGGUAGGCCUAACACAUGCAAGUCGAACGACAGCACCGUGAGUGCUUGCUCUUGCGGGUGGCGCGUGGCGGACCGUUGCGGUAUACAUCGGAAUCUACUUUUUCGCGGGGGCUAAUGUCGGGUAACUUCCGCUAAUACCGCAUACGUCCUACGGGUGGAAGCAGGGGACCUUCUGACUUUGCGCGAUUGAAUGAGCCGAUGUCGGAUUAGCUAGUUGGCGGGGUAAAGGCCCACCAAGGCGACGAUCCGUAGCUGGUCUGAGCGGGAGGACAGGCAGACUGGAUGUGAGACACGGCACAGACACCGACAGGGGGCAGCAGUGGGGAAUAUUGCACGAGGGGGGAAUGCCGGAUCCAGCGAUACCGGGUGAAUGAAGAAGGCCUUAGGGUGCGAAAGCCAUGUAGGUGGGAAAGAAAAGCAGCACUUUAAUCCCCCGCUGUACUGACGGUACCCAAAGAAUAAGCACCGGCUAACUUCGUG